AUUGAACGCUGGCGGCAGGCCUAACACAUGCAAGUCGAGCGGGGUUUUCGGACCUAGCGGCGGACGGGUGAGUAAUGCGUAGGAAGCUGCCCGAUAGAGGGGGAUACCAGUUGGAAACGACUGUUAAUACCGCAUAAUGUCUACGGACCAAAGUGUGGGACCUUCGGGCCACAUGCUAUCGGAUGCGCCUACGUGGGAUUAGCUAGUUGGUGAGGUAAUGGCUCACCAAGGCGACGAUCUCUGGCUGGUUUGAGAGGAUGAUCAGCAACACUGGAACUGAGACACGGUCCAGACUCCUACGGGAGGCAGCAGUGGGGAAUAUUGGACAAUGGGCGCAAGCCUGAUCCAGCCAUGCCGCGUGUGUGAAGAAGGCCUUCGGGUUGUAAGCACUUUCAGCGAGGAGGAAGGGGUGUGUGUUAAUAGUACACACCUUUGACGUUACUCGCAGAAGAAGCACCGGCUAACUCUGUGCCAGCAGCCGCCGUAACAC
rnacentral:rRNA from 1 species